GCAUUAAUGGGGUAGUGGUAACCUGGGUCGUUGCCAUAUGCAUCAAUUUGUUGCUCUUCGACCCGCCGGGGGUUCGAUUCCCCCUUAAUGCA
rnacentral:tRNA from 1 species